AGAGUUUGAUCAUGGCUCAGGAUGAACGCUGGCGGUAUGCGUAACACAUGCAAGUCGAACGAAGUUUUUCGGAACUUAGUGGCGGACGGGUGAGUAACGCGUGAGAAUCUGCCUUAAGGAUUGGGACAACAGUGGGAAACCGCUGCUAAUACCAAAUAUGCCUUUUAGUGAAACGGGUAAAACCGCCUUAAGAUGAGCUCGCGUCUGAUUAGCUAGUUGGUGUGGUAAGAGCGCACCAAGGCAACGAUCAGUAGCUGGUCUGAGAGGACGAUCAGCCACACUGGGACUGAGACACGGCCCAGACUCCUACGGGAGGCAGCAGUGAGGAAUUUUCCGCAAUGGGCGAAAGCCUGACGGAGCAAUACCGCGUGAGGGAGGAAGGCUCUUGGGUUGUAAACCUCUUUUCUCAGGGAAGAAUAAUGACAGUACCUGAGGAAUAAGCAUCGGCUAACUCCGUGCCAGCAGCCGCGGUAAUACGGAGGAUGCAAGCGUUAUCCGGAAUGAUUGGGCGUAAAGCGUCCGCAGGUGGCAAUGUAAGUCUGCUGUCAAAGCGUCUGGCUCAACCAGAUAAAGGCAGUGGAAACUACAUAGCUAGAGUAAGGUAGGGGUAGAGGGAAUUCCUGGUGUAGCGGUGAAAUGCGUAGAGAUCAGGAAGAACACCGGUGGCGAAAGCGCUCUGCUGGACCUUAACUGACACUGAGGGACGAAAGCUAGGGGAGCGAAUGGGAUUAGAUACCCCUGUAGUCC
rnacentral:rRNA from 1 species